UAGGAUGUUGACACUGACCCACUGA
rnacentral:piRNA from 1 species